rnacentral:rRNA from 1 species
AACCCUUCGGGGUGAAGAUAAGAUGGAUUAGCGGCGGACGGGUGAGUAACACGUGAGUAACCUGCCUUAGACAUUGGGAUAGCCUCGGGAAACCGGGAUUAAUACCAAAUGAAAUCACAUAUGCACAUGCAUAAAUGAUCAAAGCUCCGGCGGUCUAAGAUGGACUCGCGUCCCAUUAGCUAGUUGGUGAGGUAACGGCCCACCAAGGCGACGAUGGGUAGCCGGCCUGAGAGGGUGAACGGCCACAUUGGAACUGAGAAACGGUCCAAACUCCUACGGGAGGCAGCAGUGGGGAAUAUUGCACAAUGGAGGGAACUCUGAUGCAGCGACGCCGCGUGAACGAUGAAGGCUUUCGAGUCGUAAAGUUCUUUUAUAUGGGAAGAUAAUGACGGUACCAUAAGAAAAAGCCCCGGCUAACUACGUGCCAGCAGCCGCGGUAAUACGUAGGGGGCUAGCGUUGUCCGGAAUCACUGGGCGUAAAGGGUUCGCAGGCGGAAAUGCAAGUCAGAUGUAAAAGGCAGUAGCUUAACUACUGUAAGCAUUUGAAACUGCAUAUCUUGAGAAGAGUAGAGGUAAGUGGAAUUUUUAGUGUAGCGGUGAAAUGCGUAGAUAUUAAAAAGAAUACCGGUGGCGAAGGCGACUUACUGGGCUCAUUCUGACGCUGAGGAACGAAAGCGUGGGUAGCAAACAGGAUUAGAUACCCUGGUAGUCCACGCUGUAAACGAUGAGUGCUAGGUAUCGGAAUAAUUCGGUGCCGCAGUUAACACAUUAAGCACUCCGCCUGGGGAGUACGUGCGCAAG